rnacentral:lncRNA from 1 species
GCUGAAGAGGCAGCCGCUUUCCUAGGUCAGCCGCAGCGAGUUGGGGCAACUGAGUUGGCGCCAUCCUCCCUUUAAAAUAAUAGGCCAUUCAGUCUUGGGGAGAGAAAUGAAUCAGCAACCCCAGGGCCAUUCCAGCAGCCCAAACAGCUGCCAGCUGGGCAGCCCAUUGCAAACAACCAAUUAGUAUGAGUCCCACAAGCUGAUUUGAGCAAAUCCAGGCACCUCUCCCUGUAGAAACUAGCAAGGCACACAUGUCUGCACGGAAAAUGAAGUUGUUCCACCUUCCGUGGCGCCGUUCCACUCCAAGGAACAAGCUUUAUUUCUCUCAAAACUUGGCUUCCCUUGACUUGCCAGAUGAAAAAUGAUGAGAAGUGCCUGAAAUCAUCUGCUCCGGGAAAUGAAUCCAAGCUCAGCGAAAGACCGUUGGGCUGCUUUUUCAAAGCACAUCCAUCAGCCUGUCUUAUACGUGAACUAGGAUUUUGCUACCAGUUGAGCGAGCAAAUAAAUGCAGAGUGAAUUCAGCUGUGCGAUGACAGGGGCUUUCCCCUCAGAUGGACUGAGUCAUAAUUCAUCAUUCGAUGCCUGAUGAAGAGGCUGCACAGCCCCGGAGACUACACAGGCAUGAGAUGCCAACAGUGCUUGGUUUACCCUCGGUCCAAUACUGCCCUUGGUGCAUGGGGACCCUUGUAGGAAAUGGGACACAACAAGGUUGUAUGGUAAUUAGUGAAACAAUAAUGUAAGAUAUUUUCAGCUCCAUUGCUGAAACGAAAUAAGGAAAUCCCAAGGAUCUAAACUAUUUUCACUCAACAUCAUCUUAGACCAUUCUUUUGAUGUUAAAUAUAUGCAUUUCUGGACCGGGAGGAAGGGAAAGAGAGGGAGAGGGAGAUGGAGCGAGAGCAAAGGCCACCUUGUUCUGGGAAGACUUUGACCAAACUAGGCUAAUACAGCGGAAAAGACAGGCAGCUGAUAGUCUUUUUUGCACAUGUAGCACAUUUGAAGUUUCUGCUUUCAUUAGUGCCUCUCUGUGUUAUCUGAAAAGUCUAUCACUAAGCAAAAACUGACAGUGCUUCAAGGAGUAAUUGCCAAAUCCGUGAUCAGAGUGGGAGAUUUAACAUACUUUUCUCAGUAAUUGAGAGAUCAAACAGCCAAAAAUAGUCAGUAAAGUUAUAAAGAUUUUGCACAACAUGACUAACAAGUUUGACGUAAAGGACUUUUAGAGAGCGCUGCACUGAGCCACUGGGAAAUACACAUUCUUUCCAAAGUCACAGAUUACAUUUAUGAAAACUGAUGAUGAAUUAGGGCAUAAAGCAAAUUUAAAAUCUCGACAAAUGUCAAGGAAUCAGUCUCAGAAGACUGCAUCACAAUUAAGUUAGAAAAUAGUAAAAAUUGUAACUUAAAACCUCCAUACAUUUAAAAGCACACUUUUUAAAAAUCCAGAGCCAGAAAGCCGAUCGUGGUUGCCAGAGGCUGGGAGGGGAGAGGAAUGUGGAGUGACUGCUCAGCGGGCUGGGGUUUUCUUUUGGGGUAAUGAAACUGUGUUGGAACCAGAUAGAGAUGGUGGUUGCACAACCCUGUGAAUGUCCUAAAUGCUGCUGAAUUGUGCACUUCCAUGUGGUUAACUUUGUGUUAUGUGAAUUUCACCUCAAUAAAAAAAGUGCUCAUAUCUCUGUGUGUUUAAAUCCUAACUUGGGGAUACGUGGGUGUGCACAGUUUGUGAAACUUUUUCAAGCUAUACACUUAAUUCCAUGUAUACUUUUCUGUGUCAUAUGUAUGUGUUUAUAUUUUCUGUAUUAUCCUUCUUCAAUAAAGAGUUUA